GAGAGGCUGCUGCUGCUGUGGGAUCACCACCUCCACCACCCUUCCCUGUGGGACUUCUGCCUGGCAGACCUGCAUCCUGCAGGACCAGGCCCCAGGUACCCAGCCAGCUGGGACUGAUUGCUACCACCUGUCCCUCUUUGGAGGGAUACAUAAGCCGGCUGGCUGGGGUGGCCUGGGAGACCCAGGGCCUGCAGGAAGAGAACAUCGCUGCCCAGGGAAGGAGAGGCUGCUGCUGCUGUGGGAUCACCACCUCCACCACCCUUCCCUGUGGGACUUCUGCCUGGCAGACCUGCAUCCUGCAGGACCAGGCCCCAGGUACCCAGCCAGCUGGGACUGAUUGCUACCACCUGUCCCUCUUUGGAGGGAUACAUAAGCCGGCUGGCUGGGGUGGCCUGGGAGACCCAGGGCCUGCAGGAAGAGAACAUCGCUGCCCAGGGAAGGAGAGGCUGCUGCUGCUGUGGGAUCACCACCUCCACCACCCUUCCCUGUGGGACUUCUGCCUGGCAGACCUGCAUCCUGCAGGACCAGGCCCCAGGUACCCAGCCAGCUGGGACUGAUUGCUACCACCUGUCCCUCUUUGGAGGGAUACAUAAGCCGGCUGGCUGGGGUGGCCUGGGAGACCCAGGGCCUGCAGGAAGAGAACAUCGCUGCCCAGGGAAGGAGAGGCUGCUGCUGCUGUGGGAUCACCACCUCCACCACCCUUCCCUGUGGGACUUCUGCCUGGCAGACCUGCAUCCUGCAGGACCAGGCCCCAGGUACCCAGCCAGCUGGGACUGAUUGCUACCACCUGUCCCUCUUUGGAGGGAUACAUAAGCCGGCUGGCUGGGGUGGCCUGGGUGUUUGUUUGCUUUUUGUUUGUUUCUUGUGUGCUGCUUUUUUUGUGUGUGUGUGGGAUUGAGGAGGAUUAAUUUUAUGAUGUUUUAAUUGGAAAUUGGUUUUAAAUUGUUUAGGACUGUGGUUUGUUUUUGUAUAUGUAUAUUAUGUAUAGCUUUUUGUUAUUGUAAGUCGUCUAGAGUGUCCACUAACCUGGACAGAUAGGCGACCAAUUGUGGGGUGGACUGAAUGAACAGCAUACGUUGGCAAACCACGCUGCUGUUCUCAGUACACUAUCUCUCAAGACAUUGCGAUCUGACCAGUGGAAAAACAGGAUGUGGUUAACUUUAUGGCUGUAAACGAUACUGACAUCUGUAGUGGUUAAAUAACUGCCUGCAUAUUGCCACGUAGAUAAUGCUGUUGUACUAUGUAUGUACGUGAUGUUAUACAAUAGUUAAAGGUCAUAGGCUGUUUAUGGAGAGAAAAUAAUCCACGCCUCCAAGCGGAGGUAAAAAUAAAAGCGGAGACGAGAAUUACGAGGGGGGCUCCGAAAUUGAACUCUGGUCUCACCGUGUCUCACUGUGUCGUGAUAUCUACAUCUGGUGACCUCGACGUGAUUCAGAACAAACACCCUCGUACCCACUGGCAGGAUCAGCCAACGGUGCACCUCAGCGUACAGCUCCCAUUCGUAGCUGCAGUACUGGCAGAAGUGACCAGGGAGAAACCGGUUCCGGCAUUUUCAGCAGUCGGAGUCUCUACCUGCCCCGCGGGUGCAGUUUCGGCAACUACCAAAUCCAGAGUGGAAAGGCCCAGUUCCGCUUAUAACGUGGGGUCGAGGUUACGCGGCUGUGUCUACGCCUGACGGUCCUGUGUGGGUACCUGCUAGGUGUAUCCGGCCCUGGAAAGACGAUGUCCUGGCACGAUAAUCUUAAGAAUCCCAUCCCUAAUUUUUCUCUGCAACUUCAGGAUACUGGGAUGUCUUCCAGGAAGCGUGGUCGGAAUGUUCCGCAACCUCCCGUGACUUGGGGCCAAAUAAAGAACUUAGCAACACAAGCAGAAAAAGCAAUGGAACAAGCCGGGGUGGACAAGACAACUGAGAAUACCAUUCUUGCUUUAAUUGCGUCUUUAAAUACAAAUUCUAUUUUUGUACUUUGCAUUUGUUGGAUUUUAGGAAGCGCCGGGGCUGACAGGUUGGGGCAGGAGUUGGGGAUGCGGUUUCAACACAAUAUCUGGGUUCAGUUAGCAAGAAUGACAAAUGUGAGUGACUUUUGCAUGACUGAACAUGUACAGGAAAUGGGUAUGUUGGGAACAUGUUUAAUACCCGUAUGCAAAGCACCUGGGGAUAUUGGGAACAUUACAGGACUUGGGCGGUUCAUGAAUACUUCAGAGAUUAAAUAUCAUACUGUUUCGAAUUGGGGAACUCCAACCUUCCAGCUGCCUGCUAAUGCUUUUCAAUUAUUUACAUCACAUGUUGCAAAUUCCAUUAAUAAUACGUGUGCUCGGAUGGUUAAUUGUAGUCGACAUAAGGUGCAGAAGGGAUGUCUAAAGGUUGGGAGACCCACAUGGAAUUGUACACAGCACAUUAACAUAUCCAGUAUGUACGGACACAUUCCUUUACCAGGUGGAUGGUUUUGGACAUGUGGAGAAACCACUUUUAAUUAUGUUCCCGCUAAUAUUUCUGAUACCAUCUGU